CGGGGUGUCGUAUAAUGGUAGUACGCUUGCUUUGGGAGCAUGUAGCUCAGGUUCGAUUCCUGGCACCCCGACCA
rnacentral:tRNA from 1 species